UACGUAGGUUGCGAGCGUUGUCCGGAUUUACUGGGCGUAAAGCGCGCGCAGGCGGCUUCGAAAGUCCACGGUGAAAGCUCCCGGCUCAACUGGGAGAGGCCCGUGGAGACUCCGGAGCUUGAAGGCAGGAGAGGCAGAUGGAAUUUCCGGUGUAGCGGUAAAAUGCGUAGAUAUCGGAAGGAACACCAGUGGCGAAGGCGAUCUGCUGGCCUGUUCUUGACGCUCAGGCGCGAAAGCUAGGGGAGCGACCGGG
rnacentral:rRNA from 1 species